CCUUAAUAGGUGGUAUCAAGGUUAUUCUGACAGUAUAAAAAUAAUUGGGGAAGUAACAUAUUUAUUUCCCAAAAGAGUUUUAGGUUGAAAAUAUUUCUUCUGGAAUGGUUAAGAACUCACUGAUGAAUAUAUAUGAUUUGGAAUUUUCUUUGGUUUUAAUGAUGGUUUCAGUUCCUUUAAUCAUUAGCAGAUGCUGUCUGUGCCUCACACCUACCCCUCAGACCUUUCCAUGUGCUCUGGCUGACUCAACUGCCAACAUCUGUACUCUGUACCUGGUGGCCCUUUUUGUCAGAACCACUGCAAGCUGUGUUACCAAUCUGUGUGGCUGCCUACAAGUGCCAAGGAAUUCACAAUAUCAAUCCCCACACUGGAGUAACCAUCAACCAAAUAAUGAACCGCAAGUGGCAUAUAAAGGUGAAAUAUAAUUGGCCACAAGUUAUUUACUAGCCAAGCUUAAGAAACUGGCUUAAUUGGAGAACUCAAGGAACCUCUUGUUGUAAUUAUACCUGAAACACUAAUAUGUGCACAGAGAUCAAUACGUCAGACUUGAAAGGAAAAAUUUUAAGAUAUCUCCCCGCUCCACUCCUGAGGCCUCAUUUCUCUCUACUUCAUCUCCAGUUUUUCUCAAAAUGAUUGGAAAGGUGUAGAAGGUGACUGGAGGGCUCGGCCGAGUUCAAAGCUAGGCUAGAGUAAUGACUACAACUCUUAAAUGUGUCUAUUAGAAGGAAAUUAAAUUCACUAACAAAGAG
rnacentral:lncRNA from 1 species